GACGUAGGGCGCGAGCGUUGUCCGGAUUUAUUGGGCGUAAAGAGCUUGUAGGCGGUUUGUCGCGUCUGCUGUGAAAAUCCGGGGCUCAACCCCGGACUUGCAGUGGGUACGGGCAGACUAGAGUGUGGUAGGGGAGACUGGAAUUCCUGGUGUAGCGGUGGAAUGCGCAGAUAUCAGGAGGAACACCGGUGGCGAAGGCGGGUCUCUGGGCCGAUACUGACACUGAGGAGCGAAAGCGUGGGGAGCGAACAGG
rnacentral:rRNA from 1 species